CUAAUUGGACUCAACUAGUAGUGAUAUAGAUGUGUCAACAUGUUUGAAAUUAUAAAUCAGUUAGGGUUUUGUAUAUGUGUAAAACCAUGUCCUAUAAUUGAGGAGUUACAUCCAUCAUGCUUUGCAUUUUGAAGCACGUACUAGAACUACUUCCUCCACUACCGGAACGGAAAGCAACGGCUCUAUAACCAACCUCCAUGAUAGAUGGAAGUUGGGUAACCUUGCUUUAUUUAAAAAGGAUUCCCUGCUCACAGAGAAAAGGUUCUUCGUUUUUGGGACUAUCACCAUAAGGACAUACAGGUCUCCAAGUGAGUAGAAGAGCCUUUUGCAUCGUGUUCAUGGCCUCUGCAGGAACAAAUUGGUGAUCUUUUGUAUUCUGCAGGUAAGAUUACACUAAUCUUGCUGCGUUGUGUUCUAGAGUUUACUGUUAGUUUUAGGGUUAAUUCCAACAUUUGGUAUUAGAGCCAUCUAACAGGCCCUAGAUCCAAUGCAUUAUUUCCUAUCACUCUGAGAAUGAUUAGAUUCAUAUUUGCUGGGAAAAUGAUAUAUAUAAUUCUUUAUUUUCCUAACUUAACGAAACUGGUGUGUAUAUUUAAAUACAUGUACGCUAUUUCAAGCCUGCGUUUCUUGCCAUUUGAAGUUGUUAACUGGUAGCAUUAAAACUUGUUCGGACUUGUUAUAUGCAUUUGAUUGAUUUAAAUGGCUGAUUAAUUCUUGUCUUACAAGAAUAUAUUGGUUAAGUCUGACAUGUAGGUAGCUUGAAAUAUUGGAGUCCCGUGACUGUAAAUAGAUCAUUCAAUCUUGAUCAAUAAAAGUAAACUGGGUUAAUUAGUGGGAGUAGAAGUUCUUUCUUGUGCAGUCAUCCUUAGCUUCUACAGGUAGUAUUUUCAUACUUCUAUCUUGUGGUGUUGCUGACAUGUUUCAUAUACAAGUAAUCUUGUUAUUAAAGUCUCACUCCAGAACAACAUAUAUGUAUAUAUAUCGGUAAUUAAUGGCUUGCUAAUGAUUUAGACAAUUGCAGGGCUAUGUAAAUAGUGUUAUGUCGCUAACAAUUUUUUGGGCAUCUAAUGAUUCAUCUUGUUAAAGACUCCAAUUAAAAUAAUCUUCACGAAAAAGUGGGAUUAUCAGGAAUUUUAUUUGACAAAAACUUAAUUGUGGUUUAUGGUUGUCAUUAUUAAUGGUUCAUGUGUAUAAAGUUUUUCAGACACAUGUUGGAAGGCAUGAUGAUGAUAAAGAUAACUCAUCGCAAAGGUUAUCGAGACUAACGGCUUUUGCAGGAGCAACAACCAUGAUAAAGUAUUCUUGAACAAAUGUUUAUAUAAUUUUUCACCAAAGUGAGAAUUAUUAGGAAGUUCUGUUCAAUGUAAUUUUUACAUGAAAUUGUGACUAACAGUUUAUAACAUGAUAUUAAUCUUUCCAAAGAAAGAAAUAAUGAUUGGUUCAAACUGUGACUCAGUGUAUAGUAUUUCAUGAUUCCGUAAGGCAACUUUAGUCUCUUAUCCAAAAAUGUGAUUCAAGUUGGAAUGUGAAUUUUGUGAAAUAGCUAUACAAAUAAGGAUGUGUAAUGCAUAUUUGGCAGUUUAUGUUUCUUGCCCAAAGGUGUAACAUAAAUCGGUGUUUAAUAUUUAAAGUUGUUUCUCAUCCGAGGUUGCGGAGUAGAAGCUUUUCUUUGGUUUCAUCCAUGACUUCUUCAGGUAGGUAAUCAUUCAUCUCUUUACACUUCCAAUUUGUUGUUCGCUGUUGUACUCUUUGCAUAUAGGUAAUGUCUUCUUGAUUACACUAUAAUACAUGUUGAUAUAUAUAUAUAUAUAUAUAUAUAUAUAUAUUGGCACAUAGACAUUGGUGUAAUGCAAUUGUAGCUUAAUAAUUGAAUCGUUGCCCACAUGAUAUUUUAUUCGAUCAAUUUCAAAGUGGGUCUUUGCUUUCCCAUUUGUUUAAUUGUAACACUCUUUUUGCUUUGAGUCAAGAUCCAAUUAAUAAUAGGUUUUUCUUAAACAAUUAUUGAUGAACUUAGAAAGAAAAGUAAUGAAACAUAUCAACUACAUAUAAAAACGACAAAGUUAUCACAUACUUGCAUCAACUAAACAAAACGCAAUGGCUUAGUUGACUUUAGGACCAGUGAUUUUAACGUUCUUUGAUCAAACUUGCAUCUUAAUUAUAACAAAGGGAUCGAUGAUCUUCUUGCCCAAAGGUGUAGAUCAUUAUUUUUGGUUCAAUUAGGAUGGCAUGGUAUGAAUUUAUUUCAAAAAAAAAAAAAAAAAAAUAUAUAUAUAUAUAUAUAUAUAUAUAUAUUUGUGGAAGCCUUGCCCCAAGGUGUUGAAAGUUUUCAUGAGGUAACCCAUGUAAUGCGUGAUCAAGAGAUAAAGUUCUUUAUUUUUAUUUACGAAUGCUUUUGCUAUGAGCCUCAUUAUAGGUAUGUAAGGGACCAAUUUUAAUGAAAGCAUGAGAUAGAAAAUGUUUAUAUAUAUAUAUAUAUAUAUAUAUAUAUAUAUAUAUAUAUAUAUAUAUAUAUAUCUUCAUGAGAGAUGUCGAUGCACUAAAAUUGCUUGGCAAAUUAUGUCUUGAAUAAAGCUUAAUCAAUGGCACAUAUAUGGACCAUGAAAAUGCUUGACAUUUUGAUAUGUUGUACGUAUAUGUGUCUUCUCCUACAAUUCACAUUUUCGCGGUCAUUGGUUAUGUAUUUUAUUUGUUAUAAAUUUAUAAGUAAUCUAUGCUCAUAAAGAAAUCUAUGCUGGCAGUUUCUGGUUAGUCCACUUUGCUUGUCUCUUGGUUAUUAAUAGGACAAACAUGACUUAUUAACUUGUUAUAUGAAUAAUAAGCGUCUCUAGUUUAUUUUACAUAACUUGAGGAUUAGUCAUUAUAUAUAUAUAUAAAUUAAUUAUAGUAAAUCCUAGAGUAAUUGGAACUCACUCGUGGAAUCUUGUUUUGGAUUUCUAUUCUUUUGUGUUUAAAAUUUUAAGCAACUAGUAAGCUGAAUUUUGGUGAAGCAAUAAAUUAAUGAGUGUUUUGCCCAAGUAAGAGAAUAAGUGACGAAAUCUUGAGCUUCACACUCAUUAACUCAUUCAAAAGUUAUUGAGUUCUAAAAGAUUAUGAGAGUUGUUCCUUGUGUUGUCCAAAUCAAAUUGAAAGUAAACUAAAGUUUUUGAAAACACAUGUAUUAAGUUUCCUUCUAUGAUGAAUGCAUGUUUAAUAUUCAACAUCCAUAUGUGAGACAACAAAUCAGUAACGCCAACGUACUAUUAGCAUGCUCUACCAUCCAAGUCUUGGAAACCAAUGUACGCAUGCAUACGGCAUAUGGCAUAUACCACCAUGACAUGAAUCAAAUGGAAAGUCAUUAUUUCCAACACAAUCAGUUUCAGGCUGUAAAGCAAGUUUCAUUAGUUUCAUGUUGUAGAGCAAGGGUUUCAUAAUUUUGCACUAGAAUUUGCUAAAAUGGUGUAAGGAACCUCACCCUGAUUCAAACUAGCAUGACUCAAGUUGAAUUAUAAUCUUAAAGAUGACAACAUGGUUAAAUUGCGUGACUAUAUAUAAUGUAUAUAUGAUGUUUAUGUGCAUUGUCUAUCGUCUUUGUCUAUUGCAUAUGGUUGCAUUGGAUGGUUACAUGUUGGUCUUUAUAAGGAGUGUGAAGCUAAUACGAACUAAUGUUUGAUAUCGAUACAAUUGUGGUCCAGUUGUUUCAUACCGUUUGAUUGUUUGUGGUAUGGUUUUGUGUAUCCAUCAUACAUGCUUAAAUGAAUAUCAAGGAAAGAUUGGAAUAUCUUGUGCAUGAAAGAUUGUGAUACUUUUGUGACUUUUCAUUGAUAAUGUGAUUUCUUGCAUGUUAAAGAAACAUAAAAGAAGUAAAUAAAUAAAAUUAUGUGGUAAGAUGCUUUUGCGUUAACUAAUUGUCGUAGUAAGGUUGCUCCCAAAGCAUGCAUAUUUCAGAACUUUAUCAAAAGGGUUGUUCUGUAAUUACGUUAUGAUUAAUUAAAUUAGUGGGAGUGAUAACUUUAUAUUUGUUUUGCCUUACAUCUUGCAAAUUAUUAUGUAUUGUACUCUUUCGCCGUAGGGGUUCUUUCUGGUUUGAUUAAAAGAAUAUGUGCAAUAAAUACACUUGGUGGCCAACUAGUUAGAAUAAUGGCUAAUUGUACUACUUCGUGAAAGUGUUUUGGACUUGUGACUUCAAUUUUGAAGUAAUAAGGAAGACUGUUAUACGGUGAUACAGGAGAUCAACUUGUGAAUAUAAGGAUGGAGAUUAUGACUAUUCAAAUAAGGAUCUAUAUAUAUACGGCUAUUGCAUUUUCACGUAAGGUUGUUGCAUACAGUUUGCUAGAAACAUACCACUAUCGUCAAGCUUUAUUAUUAGUUUCAAUAUGCGAGAUUAGUGGGAAUGUUCAAAGAACAUGUAGCAAAUAUGGGUGUGCAUGAUAGUUUUGAUUCUGUAGGAAUGUGGGAGUAAAACAUGCUACUGCAUGAAUUAUAACUAUUUAUUAGUGUUGCUGCGAGUUUGUGUUUUGUUGUUUCAUUCAAGCUUAUAUUCAAUUGACAUUAUGGUUAUUGAUUCAGACUUAUUUAAAGCAAUUAAUGUGGCCAAUGAUUGUUCCAAAGAACAUAUUGGAUAAGUUAGUUUUGUGCAGGAAGCUAGAAAUCAACUCGAAGUCCAGUGUUUAAGGAUGAAAAGCUCUAAAGAUAAGCCUGAUUAAAGUGCACUGGACAUAUGAGUGUGGAAGGAAAAGGUGUGAGAAUUGUAGUGAUUACUGAAGUAUGGAUUGUACAUAUAUGCAUAUGUCAUUGACAUCAUACAGUGUGAUUUUGAAUAUCGUGAUUUCAGGGUGCAUGCAGUAUUGAUACAUGCAUUGUUUUCUGGAGUUCGAUUUUCAAAUGGUUACUGGUAGAUGUGUAUAGGAUAUGGAUUGCGUGAAACUCACGGUGAUCACUAAGGAAUGAUUUAUAAUGAACAUGUUGUUUCAAACCACAACUAGUUAACGUCCAAGUGGGAGAAUGUAAGAAUCCUAAUUGGACUCAACUAGUAGUGAUAUAGGUGUGUCAACAUGUUUGAAAUUAUAAAUCAGUUAGGGUUUUGUAUAUGUGUAAAACCAUGUCCUAUAAUUGAGGAGUUACAUCCAUCAUGCUUUGCAUUUUGAAGCACGUACUAGAACUACUUCCUCCACUACUGGAACUGAAAGCAACGGCUCUAUAACCAACCUCCAUGAUAGAUGGAAGUUGGGUAACCUUGCAUUAUUUAAAAAGGAUUCCCUGCUCACAGAGAAAAGGUUCUUCGUUUUUGGGACUAUCACCAUAAGGACAUACAGGUCUCCAGUGAGUAGAAUAGCAUUUUGCAUCGUGUUCAUGGCCUCUGCAGGAACGAAUUAGUGAUCUUUUGUAUUCUGCAAGUAA
rnacentral:lncRNA from 1 species